UACGUAGGGUGCAAGCGUUUAAUCGGAAUACUGGGCGUAAAGCGUGCGCAGGCGGUUGUGCAAGACCGAUGUGAAAUCCCCGGGCUUAACCUGGGAAUGGCAUUGGUGACUGCACGGCUAGAGUGUGUCAGAGGGGGGUAGAAUUCCACGUGUAGCAGUGAAAUGCGUAGAGAUGUGGACGGAAUACCGAUGGCGAAGGCAGCCCCCUGGGAUAACACUGACGCUCAUGCACGAAAGCGUGGGGAGCAAACAGG
rnacentral:rRNA from 1 species